UCGAAAGCCUAUCUCAGUUCGGAUUGGAGGCUGAAACUCGCCUCCAUGAAGUUGGAUUCGCUAGUAAUCGCGCAUCAGCCAUGGCGCGGUGAAUACGUUCCCGGGCCUUGUACACACCGCCCGUCAAGCCAUGGGAGUUGGGGGUGCCUGAAGUUCGUGACCGAAAGGAGCGACCUAGGGCAAAACCGAUGACUGGGGCUAAGUCGUAACAAGGUACC
rnacentral:rRNA from 1 species